rnacentral:rRNA from 1 species
UACGGAGGGUGCAAGCGUUAUCCGGAUUCACUGGGUUUAAAGGGUGCGUAGGCGGAUAGGUAAGUCCGUGGUGAAAUCCUGCAGCUUAACUGCAGAACUGCCAUGGAUACUAUCUAUCUUGAAUGUCGUGGAGGUUAGCGGAAUAUGUCAUGUAGCGGUGAAAUGCUUAGAGAUGACAUAGAACACCCAUUGCGAAGGCAGCUAACUACGCGAUAAUUGACGCUGAUGCACGAAAGCGUGGGGAGCGAACGGG